AGGGCUAUAGCUCAGUUCGGUAGAGCAACUCGUUUACACGUGCGCCGAGAAGGUCUA
rnacentral:tRNA from 1 species